rnacentral:RNase_P_RNA from 1 species
CGAGCAGACCGGGCAGUCGCAGGUAUCAAAGCAUACGUGAGGAAAGUCCGGGCUCCACAGAGCAGGAUAACGGCUAACGGCCGCCGAGGGCGACCUUAGGGAAAGUGCAACAGAGAUAUACCGCCCGCAUUUGCGGGUAAGGGUGGAAAGGCGAGGUAAGAGCUCACCGGCGCGCGGGAGACCGCGCGGCCCUGCAAACCCUAUUCGGAGCAACAUCGACAGCGGAAAAGGCGAAAGCCUUUGCGCCUGCUCGGCGUAUUCCGCGAAGGAUGGCUAAAGCGCGUCGGCAACGGCGCGCGUAGAAAGAUGAUUGCCUUAAAUGACAGAACCCGGCUUACAGGUCUGCUCGCGCA